GAUGAACGCUAGCGGCAGGCCUAAUACAUGCAAGUCGAACGGGAUCUGAGGGUAGCUUGCUACCCGAUUUGAGAGUGGCGCACGGGUGCGUAACGCGUGAGCAACCUACCCAUAUCAGGGGGAUAGCCCGGAGAAAUUCGGAUUAACACCGCAUAAGCAUGUAUUAACACAUGUUAAAGCAUUUAAAUAUUUAUAGGAUAUGGAUGGGCUCGCGUGACAUUAGCUAGUUGGUGAGGUAACGGCUCACCAAGGCGACGAUGUCUAGGGGCUCUGAGAGGAGAAUCCCCCACACUGGUACUGAGACACGGACCAGACUCCUACGGGAGGCAGCAGUAAGGAAUAUUGGUCAAUGGGCGGAAGUCUGAACCAGCCAUGCCGCGUGCAGGAUGACUGCCCUAUGGGUUGUAAACUGCUUUUGUCGAGGAAUAAACCUAUCUACGUGUAGCUAGUUGAACGUACUCGAAGAAUAAGGAUCGGCUAACUCCGUGCCAGCCGCCGCCGUAA
rnacentral:rRNA from 1 species